rnacentral:rRNA from 1 species
GUAGGGUGCAAGCGUUAAUCGGAACUACUGGGCGUAAAGCGAGCGCAGGCGGUUUUGUAAGUCAGAUGUGAAAGCCCCGGGCUCAACCUGGGAACUGCGUUUGAAACUACAAGGCUAGAGUAUGGGAGAGGGGGGCAGGAUUCCACGUGUAGCAGUGAAAUGCGUAGAGAUGUGGAGGAAUACCAAUGGCGAAGGCAGCCCCCUGGCCUAAUACUGACGCUCAGGCUCGAAAGCGUGGGGAGCAAACAGGAUUAGAUACCCUGGUAGUCCACGCCCUAAACGAUGUCAACUAGUUGUUGGGAGAGUAAAAUCUCUUAGUAACGCANCUAACGCGUGAAGUUGACCGCCUGGGGAGU